UACGUAGGGGGCAAGCGUUGUCCGGAUUUAUUGGGCGUAAAGAGCGUGUAGGCGGCCAUACAGGUCAGCUGUGAAAACUCGAGGCUCAACCUCGAGACGUCGGUUGAAACCGUUUGGCUAGAGUCCGGAAGAGGAGAGUGGAAUUCCCGGUGUAGUGGUGAAAUGCGUAGAUAUCGGGAGGAACACCAGUGGCGAAGGCGACUACCUGGCCUGUUCUUGACGCUGAGGCGCGAAAGCUAGGGGAGCAAACGGG
rnacentral:rRNA from 1 species